rnacentral:misc_RNA from 1 species
GUGAAUCAUCAAAUUUUUGAACGCAAAUUGCGCUUCCUGGUAUCCCGGGAAGUAUGCCUGUUUGAGGGACAGUAUUAACAAAAAAUCGGUUUGGUUGCAAAUUGUGACGUUUCCGGAACUUGGGCUUAUCUUGACUUAUUUGGUUUAGGGGCUAAAAAUUGACCUUUUUUGUGCAUUUUCAGAAGUAUAUAAAUUUUUUUUUAUUCGUCUAUUCUUACUGCCAAAAUCUU